UUUUUUCUCAUUUAUAAACUUUACUAAUAAUACAUAUUUUAUAUUUUUUUUUAUUUUUCGUUUAUUCUAGCUUUAGUUUUUAGAGGUAUCGUUUGAAUUAUUUGAAAUAUAUUUUUAAUAAUAAAUAAAAUAAAUAAUUUGGUUAAUAAAGUAGUUUUCAAUAUUGCAGGGCAUAUUUUAUAGAGAACAUUGUAUUAUAAUAAAUUGUAGACGUAUAGAAAUAAUAAUGAUUAACCGAGCUGUUGGUUAACGAAUGUGUAAUCUGAGGUACAUGGUUUCUGCUACCGAUCACAGGCCAAAAUUUGACCUUCCUGCACUAUGCAUCGAUACAACGGCACAACGCAAGCAGCAAGUUGCCAUUAUCCUCGGUUAUUUUUCCGAUUUUCGGUUGCUGCGUCUUCUGUUAUCGCACUACAACGAUCGCAAAAGUGUCCGUCAUUGCCGUCGUGUGGUCGCACAUCCGCCGUUGUAUUAUAACUGAAUCGUUUUUUGUCGUUACUUUGUGCGUAUUUACACGUAGCCGACUCAUUAUCAUAUUUUUGUUGUAUCAUGUGUGCUCCCGUUGCCGGUAUGUAGGACCGCCUGAUGUUGCGUAGCCGAUCAAACCCCGAAGUUACCUUAAUCUUGCAUAAUACCCUUUUCCUAUUACAGUCGCAGCCGGAAAUCUUCCGUUAACCCAUUGCCUACAGAAAUUCCGCGUGAACAUGGGCCAUAAUUUGUGUUAUUUUUCAACAGUACGUAACUGGGUCGGGUUAUUUUAGAUUUCGUGCCCAAUUAACGUUUAACUAUAAAACAAUAAUUUUAUUAAUUCUAAAAGAAAUUGUUGUACGUUUUCAAAUGUUUCUUAUCUGCCAAAAAAUUAUAUCUACAUUUGACCAAAUAAAAAUAAUAUUCUUUUAAAAAAUUCUUAAAACUGAACUACACGCAUUAAGCCUAUUCUAGUUUUCUGCUUUAUUUUGCCCUAAGUUUAUUUUAUAAUAUUAUAAUAUUCAUAUGAGGAUAUGAAGAUAUGUCAUAUUAUUUUUUUAUUCUAAAUGGAGUUCUUUUUUUUCUUCUAACCUAGCACUAGCAAUACCAGAACAAAGACGUAAUUUUGAUAAAAUACAAUUCUUUUGAUCUAGUAGUCCUCAACCAGAAUUGAAUUAAAGAUAUUUAUAAUGAAGAGUUUCACCUUAUCGUUCGAAGAUUCGAAUUGGUGGAUACUUUUCAAAUCUAUAGUAUAUUAUCCAUUUAACAGCAUCUCUUUAUAUUUUUUUAAAAAAUAAUUUUCGAAAUAAUUAAAUACACGUAGAGAUUAUACUUGUGCUCAUUUUAUUGGACCACCUAGUGGAUAUGUUUUCUUUAGCAAAAUAAAAAUUCAGAUAUUUAUCACGCUAAAUUGAACGUUUAGUAUAUUGUAGGCCAUAAUGUAAUGAUGAAUUAAACAAUAAAAAAUGUAAUAUUUUUGAAAUUGAAUUUUUUUUUUUUUAUAACUAUUUCCAGCAAUGUCAGGACCACAACGUAAGUUAUACAUUAAAUAUUUUUAUAUUCUAGCUAUUAACAUACUGUAUUGAGUAAUAGUUUAUUUAUUUUUAAGAAUAUCAAUUUAAAGAUCGACAAUUCUGAUUGCUGGACCUUUUUCAAUUCUUAUUUAUAUUAUUAAUAUAAUUUAUAUUAAUUUAUAUAAUUUAUACAUCCCUUUUAUUAUUCUAUAAACUUGUUCAUUUUCGUGCCUCAAUAUGUGACUAAUCAUGAUCCAUCGCCUUGUUCUGACGUUUUUUUUCUGGGUUUAUUUAUUUCACUGCUUAUGUUGGUGCUAUGUGCAAUCCAACUCAUUCGCAGCAUCCUUCCCUAACAUCACAUUUAUUAAUACCAUAGUAUUCAUAAAUACUGACAUCGCGGUUAUGAUUCUGGAUCCUAUUUUCAUGACGCAUCUGCCAUCAUGGUUGAUUUAACUGGCUAGGUAUUGAAUAUUGUCCACUUGUUCGAGCAGCCGAUUUCCUGCCUGGAUAUUAGUUCUACGUAUUCGGUCUAAUUUUAGGCACUCCGUUAUUUUCGGUUUUUUGCUAGUUGAUGAUCAAUUGAUUGUUUUAAGAGCAUCUUGACGUUUCUUCUUGUGCUUUUUCAAAAUCGUGUUCAUUUUAAUUAAAAUAUUAUGAGUCAAUUCCUAAAUUUGAUUUGGUCUUUGUAUAAUUUAUGUAUUAUUAUUCUAUUUUAGUAAUCAGAUCCUAUUACUUAUAAAGUAUAGAAUAAAUCCGUCUACGGUACCAUACCGAAAGCUUUAUCCAAAUCUAUAAAUGCUAUAAAUGUGCUAUAAUUUAUUUGUUUUUCUACCAAUAUUCUUAAGGUUAAGAUUGCCUCUCUAUUACCUUUGUUGUUCUAAACCCGAAGUGGUCGUUGUUUAAUACAUUUUCUACAAUGUUCUUAAUUCGAUUCCAUAUUUUCUUUACUAAGAUUUUAGCUGCAUAUAUCUUUAAACUUAUUGUUCUUAAUUCAUUACAUUAUUUUUAAGUAUAGGUAUUAAAAUAUUUUUUUGGCUUGAAAUCUUCUGGUAACUCUCUGGUGUAUAUAUCAUUCACUAAUUUAAAUAGCUCAUCUUGUAAUUCUGUACUUGCAUUUUAAAUAAGUUCCAUUUAUAUCUCGUCUAUACCGGUUGCCUUACCUAUGUUCAUUAACUUUAAAGUUUAAAGAAUUAUACUAUUAUCUACUUUUGAUUGUCAAACGGCGACCUUUAUUAAACAUUCCCCAGUUAGAUGGAGUAUUAGUUAAUGUAUAUUUAUAACCAGUUGACGAGAUAUUCCACUUUUAAGUAUUGGUUGGAAGAGAAAGGUGGCACAUUCUUAAAUCGCUGCUAUAUAAAUGUUUUUCUACUACUAUCCUUCUAUCCAAAACUUAAAACCUCAAGACCUAAAAAUUCUUAAGACACGUCUAUAAAAACCAAUUAUUGGCUACUUAGUAAAAAACAAUCUUUAUCUGGGUAAAAUUAGUUAGGCCAAUAACAAGAAAGCUCAGAUUGAAUAUCGUAUAAAAUAGACCAUCUUGUUCUACUUAUAUUUGUAAUAUUCAUUAAUUUAUCUACAUGUACUGUUAACAAUUAAUUAGUUCUUGUGGUCACAAUAGGUAACCUUCGGACGUCCAUUUUAAUUAAAUGAUCGACAACCACAAUAUUUAGUGGGGGAGCUGAAGUCCCCAUAUUUUCUGUAAUAAUAAUUGUUUAAUAUUGUACAAAUUUCCCUGGUUUUUCUACGUUUUUCCUAGUUUUCUUAUAAUUUUUCCCAGAUUUACACAUUGGUCGAAAAAACUCCGAAAAAAAAUCGAUUAACGACAUCUCUAAAGUAUCUCCUCUGUGAAAUUUCUUCUUAAAAAGAUUUUCUGAUAGAAAAGAUUAAAAAAAAUCAUAAUAUUAUACAAAUAUAAUUCUUUAAAAUACCCUGCUACACUGAUUUCCUUUCAGAAAAGGUACUACACGUAAAUCGGAGAAAGUCCUAUGAUAGAAAAGUUGUCCAAAGGAAAAAAAACAUCUUUGUAAUAGUUAAUAAAUUAAUUUGCAAGAGAGUGAUUGCCUGUCAAUAAUUUCUGAAGUUAUAUCCUGUUCGGAUCCUAUAUGAGAAGUAGAGGUAUUAUUUUCAAAAGUUUCUAAUUUUAUUUCAAGUAUAUCUUUUUUUCUCUCAGUAAUUCACUGUCCUCAGAUAAGUAAGAAAUAAUUUUAACCAUUUCCUCAAAUGUCUUAUUUAGUUUAUUGAAAUUAUAUGUAGAGUUAAUAACAGUAGAUAUUAUUCUACUUUCAGACCCUUUUAGUUCCUUCGGAAAGAUUUUUUUGUAUCCAAAGCUAGUUGUAUUUACAAUGCCGUGAAAAGUAUUUAUAAAAUGUGUAACGAUAGGACAACCAACACGCACAACUGUCAGAAUGCAUUUUUUUAUCUUCUAACACAACAAAUUUAUUUAAUAUUGUAUCUAUUUUUAUUCUAGUUUUUCCCGUUUAUUGGAGAAUUUCCGGGAAAAUCAAAAAAUUACCCUCUUAAAGUAACACUCCAGUUCAAUUUUCUUUCAGAAAAAGCUCUAUCUGUAAAAACUGUACCAAAAUUGCUCGAAGAAAUUCUACAGAACAUAAACAUAAACAUAAUUGUGUUUUAAGCUCCGCUCAGAAUCUAAAAUUGCUAUUUUGAAAAUUUUAAUUAAAGAGAAACCCAGUUGGAAAAAAAUAUAUACGUUAUAUAACAUUCAUAUAACACUGUGGGACAUUCAGUAUACCUAUUAAAAGAUUACUUUGCGGUUGUUAGGUAUAAUGAACUCUAAAUAUUUAAUUACGGACAAGAAUAAACAUUUUAAAAGAAAAGACAAUAGUGGGGCGAGUGUGUCAUUUUUGUAGGUAGAAAGAUGAGAAGAUUGGAUCCAUAAAGUUGUUUAAUUUUUAUCCAUAUGAAACGAUAAACCAUUGCUUAUGUAAAACGAUCUGGGGUUAGGUGCGUAACAUAAAUUUUGAAAUACAGGAUUUUUUAUGAUUUCAACAUUUUUAUUAAAAAUAAAUUGUUAUCUAUAACUAGUCGUAUGAAGAAUGAAAAUAUUUUAAAACAAUGAAUUUUUUUUUUUAUUAUAUUCUUUGUUUAAUUAACAUAAUAAUAUGUAAACUAUAAAUUAGAGAAAAGAAUACCUACUAAUUAAUUAAUACUGUUUAUAAUAGAGGGACCUAAUCCAUAGGCAACAAACGUUUCGUAAACCGUGGUACAUAAAGCAAGUAUAUUUUAAUUAAAUUAUUUAAAAAAAACAAAAUACAAAAAGUUGUAGAGGUCUAAAUACAAACACAAUCAAAUUAAUCACAUUUCUUCGCUUUUUCUGCAACUACUGGCAACUGAUGAUUUUUUAAAACUAAAAUCUCUGAUAACCACACACAACAAUAUACAAUAUUUUAGGAUUUUUGUUGAUAUUUUAGAUUAUAUGUUUAGAUAAAAUAUUUGUGCUGUUUAGAUAAUAUUAUUGUAACCCUGAAAAUGUUAAAAUUAAUUAACAGUGGCGUAUAUAGGACAGGCGCAGAUCCAGGGGCAUUAGGGCCAUUCCCCCCCCCGGCUUUCUAAUUAUUGCGAUUAUUUAUUUAGAUACUUAACAAUUUUAUUUUGCAUGAAAACCUAUAUUGUUAUAAUAUUGAUAUACGGUAUGUAUCAGAUAGGAACGUGUACAAAUUUGAGAAAUCACCAUUAUUAGUCGAUGAACGGUUUAUGUACCUAUAAUAAAUAUUUGGGUCAUCAGAUAAUGAUAUAGCAUAGUAUUAUAAAAAUACACAUAUUGACUAUAGACGUAUAAGUCUAUACAGUCUGAACAUUUUUAUCGAGAAUCAUUUUUUCCGCGGUCAUUUUUGAUUUGACUAUGAUUACCUGAAGUAACCGGUAACCACUUAUUAUAUAUUAGGUGUGAUUGGGAUACAAGUUUUUGCUGGGGUGACUUCGGGAGGAGGGGGGUUAGGACUGUGGUUUCCCUAAGCCCAUAUUUUUGUUAAAAACAACUAUACAAAAGAAAAAUAAACUUAUAAAUAUGUUUUUAAAAGAGUUUUCUGAAAAAUAUAACUUCCUCCCUCCAACCAAGUCUCUAAAAGCCACCCCUGAUAUAGGAAGGGGCACAGUGAGCUAUAGACCCUCCGCGUGGGAGUUUUUUGAUCCUCUAUCACAGUGAAAAUUGUCUUAAAUAUUAUCUAUUUAAUUAAUUAAAUUUAUCAAGCCUCAAUUAUUGAAAUAUAUAUUUUAUUUUUUAAAAAGUUAUAUUUAAAGCUGUGAUAGAGGUACACACGCAAAACAAAAUGACCAAUUUGCUACCUAAUAUUUGUAGUAAUUACUAUUUUAUGUAUUACUGUGAAAUGUGAAAUACAUUUUAGCUGAAAUUAUUAGUAUACAAUUAGCAGUUACUGGAAUAUUAAAUUAAUUUUUUUUUUUUUACUCUAGUGCCACGCAAAACCCAAAGAUUCAAUUUCAAUAUAGCAAUGUUACAAUGUUAAAGUCUGAAAACAUAAACUCAAUGAACCAGUAUACACAUCGUAGCGUAGUAUAAUAUUUACUGUUUUCGCAUUCGAAUUUUAUU